GACGUAGGGGGCAAGCGUUGUCCGGAAUCAUUGGGCGUAAAGCGCGUGUAGGCGGCCCGGUAAGUCCGCUGUGAAAGUCCAGGGCUCAACCCUGGAAUGCCGGUGGAUACUGUCGGGCUCGAGUCCGGAAGAGGCGAGUGGAAUUCCUGGUGUAGCGGUGAAAUGCGCAGAUAUCAGGAGGAACACCGAUGGCGAAGGCAGCUCGCUGGGACGGUACUGACGCUGAGACGCGAAAGCGUGGGGAGCAAACAGG
rnacentral:rRNA from 1 species